rnacentral:ncRNA from 1 species
UACAUUUUGAUCGAUAAAAAUAGUGAUUUUUCGGCCCGAUUGGGCCAAAGUCUUUAAAAUCGUACUAAAACUGGAUUUAGCUAUUCUCAGUACGGAGCGCUGCAAACACGCUCCCUUCGCACAGUCGUGGACGCGGCACUGGGGUAUGAAAAUAUACUCCAACGCAAGGCGGGGUGCAAUUAUUAGAACAGACCAAACGUUUUCGGACGUUGUUUGUUGACUCUGAAUACCGUCGUUUACUGUCAGUUUCGACUGACUCUAUCCGAGAAGGGUGUCUGCCCUUUCAACUAGAUGGUAAUCUAUUGGACUACCAUGGUUGUUACGGGUAACGGAGAAUUAGGGUUCGACUCCGGAGAGGGAGCCUUAGAAACGGCUACCACGUCCAAGGAAGGCAGCAGGCGCGAAACUUAUCCACUGUUGAGUAUGAGAUAGUGACUAAAAAUAUAAAGACUCAUCCUUUUGGAUGAGUUAUUUCAAUGAGUUGAAUAUAAAUUAUUCUUCGAGUAGCAAGGAGAGGGCAAGUCUGGUGCCAGCAGCCGCGGUAAUUCCAGCUCUCCUAGUGUAUCUCGUUAUUGCUGCGGUUAAAAAGCUCGUAGUUGGAUCUAGGUUACGUGCCGCAGUUCGCAAUUUGCGUUAACUGUGGUCGUGACUUCUAAUUUGCUGGUUUGAGGUUGGGUUCGCCCUUGAACUGCCAGCAGGUUUACCUUGAAUAAAUCAGAGUGCUCAAUACAGGCGCUUGCUUGAAUAGCUCAUCAUGGAAUAAUGAAACAGGACUUCGG